CCCUUAGAUGUCCUGGGCUGCACGCGCGCUACACUGAUGCGCUCAACGAGUUUACGACCUUGCCCGGAAGGGUUGGGUAAUCUUUUUAAAACGCAUCGUGAUGGGGAUAGAUUAUUGCAAUUAUUAAUCUUUAACGAGGAAUUCCUAGUAAGCGCGAGUCAUCAGCUCGUGCUGAUUACGUCCCUGCCCUUUGUACACACCGCCCGUCGCUCCUACCGAUUGAAUGAUCCGGUGAAUAAUUCGGACUGCAGCAGUGUUCAGUUCCUGAACGUUGCAGCGGAAAGUUUAGUGAACCUUAUCACUUAGAGGAAGGAGAAGUCGUAACA
rnacentral:rRNA from 1 species